GCUACCGGGUGACCGGAUGCCGAUCUCGAAAACCUGUCCCAGUUCGGACUGGAGUCUGCAACCCGACUCCACGAAGUUGGAUUCGCUAGUAAUCGCGCAUCAGCCAUGGCGCGGUGAAUACGUUCCCGGGCCUUGUACACACCGCCCGUCAAGCCAUGGGGGCCGGGGGCGCCUGAAGUCCGGGACCGCGAGGACCGGCCUAGGGCGAAACUGGUGACUGGGGCUAAGUCGUAACAAGGUACC
rnacentral:rRNA from 1 species